rnacentral:rRNA from 1 species
GAUGAACGCUGGCGGCGUGCCUAAUACAUGCAAGUCGAGCGAACAGACGAGGAGCUUGCUCCUCUGACGUUAGCGGCGGACGGGUGAGUAACACGUGGAUAACCUACCUAUAAGACUGGGAUCACUUCGGGAAACCGGAGCUAAUACCGGAUAAUAUAUUGAACCGCAUGGUUCAAUAGUGAAAGACGGUUUUGCUGUCACUUAUAGAUGGAUCCGCGCCGCAUUAGCUAGUUGGUAAGGUAACGGCUUACCAAGGCAACGAUGCGUAGCCGACCUGAGAGAGUGAUCGGCCACACUAGAGCUGAAACACGGACCAGACUCCUACGGGAGGCAGCAGUAGGGAAUCUUCCGCAAUGGGCGAAAGCCUGACGGAGCAACGCCGCGUGAGUGAUGAAGGUGUUCGGAUCGUAAAACUCUGUUAUUAGGGGAGAACAAAUGUGUAAGUAACUAUGCCCGUCUUGACGGUACCUAAUCAGAAAGCCACGGCUAACUACGUG